rnacentral:rRNA from 1 species
GACGAACGCUGGCGGCGUGCUUAACACAUGCAAGUCGAACGAAGUCGCACACGGGUGAGUAACGCGUAUUCAACCUGCCCUUCAGAGGGGUACAACUGUUAGAAACGAUUGCAUAUCCCGCAUACUGCAGGUGGGUAUUGCGUUGGAUUCGCAGGUUGGCGGGGUAACGGCCCACCAAGGCGAGGAUCAGUAGCCUGUCUGAGAGGAUGAACGGCCACAUUGGGACUGAGACACGGCCCAGACUGCUACGGGAGGCAGCAGUGGGGAAUCUUCCGCAAUGGACGAAAGUCUGACGGAGCAACGCCGCGUGAGUGAUGACGGCCUUCGGGUUGUAAAGCUCUGUUAAUCGGGACGCGGUACCGGAAUAGAAAGCCACGGCUAACUACGUGCCAGCAGCCGCGGUAAUUC